GACGAACGCUGGCGGCGUGCUUAACACAUGCAAGUCGAACGGAAAGGCCCUGCUUUUGUGGGGUGCUCGAGUGGCGAACGGGUGAGUAACACGUGAGUAACCUGCCCUUGACUUUGGGAUAACUUCAGGAAACUGGGGCUAAUACCGGAUAGGAGCUCCUGCUGCAUGGUGGGGGUUGGAAAGUUUCGGCGGUUGGGGAUGGACUCGCGGCUUAUCAGCUUGUUGGUGGGGUAGUGGCUUACCAAGGCUUUAACGGGUAGCCGGCCUGAGAGGGUGACCGGCCACAUUGGGACUGAGAUACGGCCCAGACUCCUACGGGAGGCAGCAGUGGGGAAUAUUGCACAAUGGGCGGAAGCCUGAUGCAGCAACGCCGCGUGCGGGAUGACGGCCUUCGGGUUGUAACCGCUUUCGCCUGUGACGAAGCGUGAGUGACGGUAAUGGGUAAAGAAGCACCGGCUAACUACGUG
rnacentral:rRNA from 1 species